AGUGAACGCUGGCGGUAGGCCUAACACAUGCAAGUCGAACGGCAGCACAGUAAGAGCUUGCUCUUACGGGUGGCGAGUGGCGGACGGGUGAGGAAUACAUCGGAAUCUACUUUUUCGUGGGGGAUAACGUAGGGAAACUUACGCUAAUACCGCAUACGACCUACGGGUGAAAGCAGGGGAUCUUCGGACCUUGCGCGAUUGAAUGAGCCGAUGUCGGAUUAGCUAGUUGGCGGGGUAAAGGCCCACCAAGGCGACGGUCCGUAGCUGGUCUGAGAGGAUGAUCGGCCACACUGGAACUGAGACACGGUCCAGACUCCUACGGGAGGCAGCAGUGGGGAAUAUUGGACAAUGGGCGCAAGCAUGAUCCAGCCAUACCGCGUGGGUGAAGAAGGCCUUCGGGUUGUAAAGCCCUUUUGUUGGGAAAGAAAAGCAGCAGGUUAAUACCCCGCUGUUCGGAGGUACCCAAAGAAUAAGCACCGGCUAACUUCGUG
rnacentral:rRNA from 1 species